rnacentral:rRNA from 1 species
GACGAAUGCUGGCUGCGUGCUUAACACAUGCAAGUCGAACGGUGAACCAGGGCUUGCCCUGGGGAUCAGUGGCGAACGGGUGAGUAACACGUGGGCAACCUGCCCCUCACUCUGGGAUAACUCCGGGAAACCGGGGCUAAUACCGGAUAUGACCUGGUGCGACAUCACACCAGGUGGAAAGAAUUUCGGUGAGGGAUGGGCCCGCGGCCUAUCAGCUAGUUGGUGGGGUAACGGCCCACCAAGGCGACGACGGGUAGCCGGCCUGAGAGGGCGACCGGCCACACUGGGACUGAGACACGGCCCAGACUCCUACGGGAGGCAGCAGUGGGGAAUAUUGCGCAAUGGGCGAAAGCCUGACGCAGCGACGCAGCGUGAGGGACGACGGCCUUCGGGUUGUAAACCUCUUUCAGCGGGGACGAAGCGAAAGUGACGGUACCCGCAGAAGAAGCACCGGCUAACUACGUGCCAGCAGCCGCAGUAAGAC